rnacentral:rRNA from 1 species
UACGUAGGGGGCUAGCGUUGUCCGGAAUCAUUGGGCGUAAAGAGCAUGUAGGCGGCCCGGUAAGUCCGCUGUGAAAGUCGGGGGCUCAACCCUCGAAUGCCGGUGGAUACUGUCGGGCUAGAGUGCGGAAGAGGCGAGUGGAAUUCCUGGUGUAGCGGUGAAAUGCGCAGAUAUCAGGAGGAACACCGAUUGCGAAGGCAGCUCGCUGGGACGUAACUGACGCUGAGACGCGAAAGCGUGGGGAGCAAACAGG